ensembl:misc_RNA Metazoa_SRP Metazoan signal recognition particle RNA
GCUGGGUGUGGUGGCGCAUGCCUGUAACUCCAGCUACUCAGGAAGCUGAGACAGGAGAAUCGCUUGAACCCAGGAGGUGGAGGUUGCAGUGAGCUGAGAUCAUGCCAUUGCACUCCAGCCUGGGUGACAGAGCGAGACUCUGUCUCCA